AAAAGGGGACGGAGGGGAUUAAGUCGUAAUCGGCACCUGAGCACACACUCGUGCAGGAAGCGACUUAAUCCCCUCCGUCCCCUUUU
rnacentral:antisense_RNA from 1 species